UUCACCGAAUCAACCAAGCUACAAGCAGUGUGUUGCCAAAUGUCUUUUUCAUACAAAACGUCCUGAAAUCCCGAAAAAUUAUCUGCCUGUUUUCGAUGCAGACUUCCGAAAGGAGCCAAUAAAUUGUAAUUUACGGAAAAAACGACUUUCGAAGGAGUGCAAGAAUAGAAUUUUUGUUAAUUUGGAGUCGAUGGGACCAUUUUGGAUUCAUCUUCCAGCAGGAAGCAGAAAAUAUUCAUGGUUUGCAGCAGAAAAAUUCUGCAGAUCAAAAGGUCUUGUUCUACCUGCGUUCGAUUCCAAACUGAAAAUGACUCAGCUGCUGCUGUAUGUGAACUUACUUG